AGAAGCUCGGCCCCUGCACACACCCUAGGAUCCAGUCAAUCCAAGUCUGGUGGAACCCAAAGCUCUGUAAUGCCUGUCGUAGAAAGUCCCACCGGAUCCGAUCAUAGGCCCGCUCCAUAUCUAUUUUAACUGCCAUCAAACCUCGGCUCCUUGAGGCUCGCUGCAGAUCACCCAUCAUCUCCUGAGCAAGCAAAAUGUUGUCCGAGAUGCUCCUCCCUCCCACAAAGGCUCCCUGCUCCUGACUGAU
rnacentral:lncRNA from 1 species